CCUACGGGCGGCAGCAGUGAGGAAUAUUGGUCAAUGGGCGGGAGCCUGAACCAGCCAAGUCGCGUGAGGGAAGACGGUCCUAUGGAUUGUAAACCUCUUUAUGCGGGGAGCAAUGCCGGGCACGCGUGCCCGGAGGGAGAGUACCCGCAGAAUAAGCAUCGGCUAACUCCGUGCCAGCAGCCGCGGUAAUCCGGAGGAUGCGAGCGUUAUCCUGAUUUGUUGGGUUUAAAGGGUGCGUAGGCGGAUUUUUAUGUCGGCGGUAAAAUGUCCGGGCUCAACCCGGGCCGGCCGUUGAAACUGGGGAUCUAGAGUGGGCGAGAAGUAUGCGGAAUGCGUGGUGUAGCGGUGAAAUGCAUAGAUAUCACGCAGAACUCCGAUUGCGAAGGCAGCAUACCGGAGCCCGACUGACGCUGAGGCACGAAAGCGUGGGGAUCGAACAGGAUUAGAUACCCCUGUAGUC
rnacentral:rRNA from 1 species